ACGGGGAGCAGCAGGCGCGAAACCUUUACACUGUACGCAAGUGCGAUAAGGGGACUCCGAGUGUGAAGGCAUAGAGCCUUCACUUUUGUACACCGUAAGGUGGUGUACGAAUAAGGGCUGGGCAAGACCGGUGCCAGCCGCCGCGGUAAUACCGGCAGCCCGAGUGAUGGCCGAUAUUAUUGGGCCUAAAGCGUCCGUAGCUGGCCGGACAAGUCCGUUGGGAAAUCUGUUCGCUUAACGAGCAGGCGUCCAGCGGAAACUGUUCGGCUUGGGACCGGAAGACCUGAGGGGUACGUCCGGGGUAGGAGUGAAAUCCUGUAAUCCUGGACGGACCACCGGUGGCGAAAGCGCCUCAGGAGGACGGAUCCGACAGUGAGGGACGAAAGCUAGGGUCUCGAACCGGAUUAGAUACCCGGGUAGUCCUAGCUGUAAACGAUGCCCGCUAGGUGNUGGCGCAGGCUACGAGCCUGCGCUGUGCCGUAGGGAAGCCGAGAAGCGGGCCGCCNGGGAAGUACGUCUGCAAGGAUGAAACUUAAAGGAAUUGGCGGGGGAGCAC
rnacentral:rRNA from 1 species